rnacentral:rRNA from 1 species
UACGUAGGGUGCAAGCGUUAAUCGGAAUUACUGGGCGUAAAGCGUGCGCAGGCGGUGAUGUAAGACAGAUGUGAAAUCCCCGGGCUCAACCUGGGAACUGCAUUUGUGACUGCAUCGCUGGAGUGCGGCAGAGGGGGAUGGAAUUCCGCGUGUAGCAGUGAAAUGCGUAGAUAUGCGGAGGAACACCGAUGCGAAGCAAUCCCUGGGCCUGCACUGA